GCAGCCAUGCCGCGUGAAUGAUGAAGGUCUUAGGAUUGUAAAAUUCUUUCAGCGGGGACGAUAAUGACGGUACCCGGAGAAGAAGCCCCGGCUAACUUCGUGCCAGCAGCCGCGGUAAUACGAAGGGGGCUAGCGUUGCUCGGAAUUACUGGGCGUAAAGGGAGCGUAGGCGGAUAGUUUAGUCAGAGGUGAAAGCCCAGGGCUCAACCUUGGAAUUGCCUUUGAUACUGGCUAUCUUGAGUACGGAAGAGGUAUGUGGAACUCCGAGUGUAGAGGUGAAAUUCGUAGAUAUUCGGAAGAACACCAGUGGCGAAGGCGACAUACUGGUCCGUUACUGACGCUGAGGCUCGAAAGCGUGGGGAGCAAACAGGAUUAGAUACCCUGGUAGUCCACGCUGUAAACGAUGAGUGCUAGUUGUCGGCAUGCAUGCAUGUCGGUGACGCAGCUAACGCAUUAAGCACUCCGCCUG
rnacentral:rRNA from 1 species